GGGCCCCGAGGAGGAAGGCGGAGGGCCCCGCGGAGGAAGGCGGAGGGCCCCGAGGAGGAAGGCGGAGGGCCCCGAGGAGGAAGGCGGAGGGCCCCGCCUGCCGCCAGAGGGCACCCGCGGCCUCCGCCGCUCCGCUCGGCCCGGCUGUGCUGCAGGCGUGAGGGAAAGGUGCGCGCUGUCGGUACCAGGAGGGGAAGGGAUUUGAAAAUCCUGUCUUGUUCCUGCUAUUUAGCUGCAAUCGGGUGGCACUGGAAAGCUAGUCUUGGCCAGCGUGCUGUUACAAGCUGCUGUACGUCCGUACGAAACAAAGCGGGUGGGUGGUAGGUGGCAGCUUUCAGUGCUGAGCGCGGUCGAAAUAAAUACUCAACAACACAGGGGUGAAAGAAAGCUGGGUUGAAGUUAAGACAGCAAAGAAGAAAACCUACGAGUGACGCAAGGUUACUCACCACCUCCUACCAGCAGAGCGAACCUCAGCCAGUCCCUGAGCAACUACUUUUGGAAUUUCCCCCUUCCCCAGUUUUUAUUGCCGAAAGUGACGUUAUAUGGUAUGGAACAUCCUUUUGGUCAGCCUGGGUCAGCUGUCCCACCCCAGCCUCUUGUCCACCUCCAGCCUACUCGCUCAGGGUGCAGAGGGAGAAACAGGGAAGGCCUUGACCCUGUGCAAGCACUGCCCAGCAAUAGCUAAACCACUUCUGUAUUAUCAGCACUGUUUUGGACACAAAUCCAAAACAUUGGGCUAUAUGGGCUGCUGUGAAGAAAAUCGACUCCAUCCCCACUGAACCCGAUAGAGCUGGGAAAUGUUGUGAGAGACACUAUUAAUUCAGGUGCCUUGAGACAGAGGUACCAGAAGAAUUCAGAGAACAUACAGGCAAUUACAAAAAAAAAAGCACUCACAGAUUCCAGGCAAAAACUAGUUGGCACUAAAGGUAAAGCAAGAGCGAGCAGAAUAUUCAUUCAGCACUCAAGUAAGGAUAUCACCGGUGCUUUUCUCUAGAAGGAGUCAAAGAUCCUCAAACGCAUACCUUUGAUCAUAGGGCUUGCUUUUGAUCACAGGGAACAGCGCUGUGCCCUCGCAGAGGAUAUUAUAAUACCUCAGUUGGAUAUCAAAUAAUAACAGCUCUGAUACAUCUAAUGCUGGAACCAUUGAUUGUGAGAUUCCCAGCAAAGUGAUGGAACUAUCUGAAUGCAAAAUCUGGAUGGCAAAAGGUCAUGGAGUCCCAUUCAUCCAUUUCAGUUGCCCUUCCUUUCACGAGAAAUGGAAGUCCCCGGCUUCUUAAAUCCAUUGCUCUCAAAAGGCUCCUGGCUACAGUAAUGAAGAUGAAGAAUAUGACUCCUGAGGAAGGUGAGGAACUAUUUGGAUUGCUUGGUAUUUUUUUUCCUACCUCCCUUCUCCAGUAUAUUUCACCUCAGCUGCAAAGACAGCAUCCUGAUUUCAUCUCCAUGAGAAAAAAAAACUGAGUGGAGAAAGGUGUCUGUUUUGGUUUUUUUUCCUCAUUACCACUUUCAGAAUUUUCAAAGAAGACAGGUCUUUCACCAAGAAAUGCUUCAAGUUUUGAGCUAUGUGCAAACACUUGAGAAGCCAAUGAUCUGCUUUGCAGCAAAAGCGUAACUGAUAAGCACUUUCUGAGAAGUAAACCACCUGCAGUUUACACUGGAAACAAUGCUUGUGUUCCUUUCAUAAUGUUUUAUUACUUCUGAUGUUUAAUAUAAAUUUUUAGAAAUUUUUUCAGAACCAUAUAUGACCUUACUUCACUACAAGUGAAGGUUACAGAGAAAGGAUCUGGAUUCUUCAAGAGAUUUUUAGUAAGUGUUUUCCAGCUUAAAAUCCGUAUCAGAGUACAGAAGAAAACACCACAUCAGCAACCUGUAAUGAAUGUUGAAGACAGUGAAAGACAGUUGAGCUGUGAAUAAGAGGUACCUUAGUAACACCAGAGCUUUCAGCUCAUUUCUCUGUCACUGAAUUUAGCAGCAGAGUAAGCCUUUCAUGGCAUCUAAUGUUGUUCCCUGAACUCUGCUCUGUGCCCAGUCUACUUAAGCCUUAAAAUUCCAAGGGUUUUGUCGCUGUUCUUGGAGGGUGAUUUCCAUGCCGGUGUAUCCACUGCCAGAAAUUUUAUCCGGAGGUUCUGACUCAGGUUUGCCUUUUUUUGGAUUAAAUUAUUUCUCUUUCAAA